rnacentral:rRNA from 1 species
AUUGAACGCUGGCGGCAGGCCUAACACAUGCAAGUCGAACGGCAGCGGGGAGUAGCUUGCUACUCUGCCGGCGAGUGGCGGACGGGUGAGUAAUGCCUGGGGAGCUGCCCAAUCGAGGGGGAUACCAGUUGGAAACGACUGCUAAUACCGCAUACGCCCUGAGGGGGAAAGGUGGGGCUCUUCGGACCUAUCGCGAUUGGAUGCACCCAGUUGGGAUUAGCUAGUUGGUGAGGUAACGGCUCACCAAGGCGACGAUCGCUAGCUGGUCUGAGAGGAUGACCAGCCACACUGGAACUGAGACACGGUCCAGACUCCUACGGGAGGCAGCAGUGGGGAAUAUUGCACAAUGGGGGAAACCCUGAUGCAGCCAUGCCGCGUGUGUGAAGAAGGCCUUCGGGUUGUAAGGCACUUUCAGCGAGGAGGAAAGGUUGGCAGCUAAUACCUGUCGGCUGUGACGUUACUCGCAGAAGAAGCACCGGCUAACUCCGUGCCAGCCGCCGCGGUAACAC